rnacentral:rRNA from 1 species
CAGAGGGGGCAAGCGUUGUUCGGAAUUACUGGGCGUAAAGGGCGCGUAGGCGGCCUGCUAAGUCGAACGUGAAAUCCCUGGGCUCAACCCAGGAACUGCGUCCGAUACUGGUUGGCUUGAAUCCGGGAGAGGGAUGUGGAAUUCCAGGUGUAGCGGUGAAAUGCGUAGAUAUCUGGAGGAACACCGGUGGCGAAGGCGACAUCCUGGACCGGUAUUGACGCUGAGGCGCGAAAGCCAGGGGAGCAAACGGGAUUAGAUACCCCGGUAGUCCUGGCCCUAAACGAUGAAUGCUUGGUGUGGCGGGUAUCGAUCCCUGCCGUGCCGAAGCUAACGCAUUAAGCAUUCCGCCUGGGGAUACGGUCGCAAGGCUG